rnacentral:rRNA from 1 species
GUAAUGCAUUAGCAUCCGCAAUCGAACUUCGGAUUGACUUGGCGUAAUAGACUAUUCGCUGAGGAAUUCUAGUCUUCGGACUAGAGCCGGGUUGGGUUAAAGGAAGCUUCUAAUCAGAAUGUCUACAUUUUAAGAUUAGAUCUCAAAUCAGGUAGGACUACCCGCUGAACUUAAGCAUAUCAAUAAGCGGAGGAAAAGAAACUAACAAGGAUUCCCCUAGUAGCGGCGAGCGAAGCGGGAAGAGCUCAAAUUUAUAAUCUGGCACCUUCGGUGUCCGAGUUGUAAUCUCUAGAAAUGUUUUCCGCGUUGGACCGCACACAAGUCUGUUGGAAUACAGCGGCAUAGUGGUGAGACCCCCGUAUAUGGUGCGGACGCCCAGCGCUUUGUGAUACAUUUUCGAAGAGUCGAGUUGUUUGGGAAUGCAGCUCAAAUUGGGUGGUAAAUUCCAUCUAAAGCUAAAUAUUGGCGAGAGACCGAUAGCGAACAAGUACCGUGAGGGAAAGAUGAAAAGCACUUUGGAAAGAGAGUUAACAGUACGUGAAAUUGUUGGAAGGGAAACGCUUGAAGUCAGACUUGCUUGCCGAGCAAUCGGUUUGCAGGCCAGCAUCAGUUUUCCGGGAUGGAUAAUGGUAGAGAGAAGGUAGCAGUUUCGGCUGUGUUAUAGCUCUCUGCUGGAUACAUCUUGGGGGACUGAGGAACGCAGUGUGCCUUUGGCGGGGGUUUCG